AGCCCCUUCGUCUAGCGGCAAGGACGCUGGCCUUUGGAGCCGGCAACAUCGGUUCGAAUCCGAUAGGGGCUA
rnacentral:tRNA from 1 species